AACGCGAAGAACCUUACCGGGGCUUGACAUCCUGCGCUAUCCUAGGAGACUAGGUUUCCCAGCAAUGGGACGCAGAGACAGGUGCUGCAUGGCUGUCGUCAGCUCGUGCCGUGAGGUGUUGGGUUAAGUCCCGCAACGAGCGCAACCCUUGCCGUGUGUUGGUCCAAAAGAUCUCUCACGCGGGACCGCCGGUGACAAGCCGGAGGAAGGUGGGGAUGACGUCAAGUCAGCAUGGCCCUUACGUCCCGGGCUACACACGUGCUACAAUGGAACGGACAACGAGCUGCGAACCCGCGAGGGUAAGCUAAUCUCAUAAACCGUUUCUCAGUUCGGAUUGGAGGCUGCAACUCGCCUCCAUGAAGUCGGAAUCGCUAGUAACCGCAGAUCAGCUACGCUGCGGUGAAUACGUUCCCGGGCCUUGUA
rnacentral:rRNA from 2 species